GACGAACCGAGCGAACGUUGUUCGGAAUCACUGGGCUUAAAGGGCGCGUAGGCGGGCAUCCUAGUCUGUGGUGAAAUCCGGCAGCUUAACUGUCGAAUUGCCAUGGAUACUGGGUGUCUCGAGGGAGGCAGGGGUGCGCGGAACUGAUGGUGGAGCGGUGAAAUGCGUUGAUAUCAUCAGGAACUCCGGUGGCGAAGGCGGCGCACUGGUCCUUUUCUGACGCUGAGGCGCGAAAGCCAGGGGAGCAAACGGG
rnacentral:rRNA from 1 species